rfam:Schistosoma mansoni strain Puerto Rico chromosome 1, complete genome
AUCUGGCUGACGAUUCCCAAAUAGGACGAAACGCGCGUCCUGGAU